GAUCAUGGCUCAGAUUGAACGCUGGCGGCAGGCCUAACACAUGCAAGUCGAGCGCGAAAAUUCCUUCGGGGAUGAGUAGAGCGGCGGACGGGUGAGUAACGCGUAGGAAUCUGCCCGGUAGUGGGGGACAACAGUCGGAAACGACUGCUAAUACCGCAUACGCCCUAAGGGGGAAAGCAGGGGAUCUUCGGACCUUGCGCUAUCGGAUGAGCCUGCGUCGGAUUAGCUUGUUGGUGGGGUAAUGGCCUACCAAGGCGACGAUCCGUAGCUGGUCUGAGAGGAUGAUCAACCACACUGGGACUGAGACACGGCCCAGACUCCUACGGGAGGCAGCAGUGGGGAAUAUUGGACAAUGGGGGAAACCCUGAUCCAGCCAUGCCGCGUGUGUGAAGAAGGCCUUCGGGUUGUAAAGCACUUUCAGUAGGGAGGAAAAGUUGAUGGCUAAUACCCAUCAGCCCUGACGUUACCUACAGAAGAAGCACCGGCAAACUCCGUG
rnacentral:rRNA from 1 species